rnacentral:lncRNA from 1 species
ACGAAAUUGAGGUACGCAGAAGAUGAACAAACCUGAGAAUUGAUGAUCGAAUGAAGAGUCGGAGCUCGAGCAUCACAUAGUCGUCAGCUAUGGUGGCUUGUGGGCGGAUGUUUCUCAGACCUAAGUUGUUGCCGCUGGACCGUGGUUACAUUCAUCCUAGCUUGGAGGAAACGGUGUGGGUGGGUAUGCAUGUGCAGGGCGAAGAAGUGGACGAAGGCCGAAGAAGCAAUCUCUGCCUCCCUAUUGCUGCGUCCUGCUCCUCAAUAUGUCACCUUAGUCAUGGCCGCCUUAUCCCUCAUGCUGCUGAUUUGAAUCUGCCCUACUCUUCUUCUCCUAGACUGCUCGAGCGCUUCAGCGGGUGCCUUGCCGACGACAGGGAAGGAAGGACCAGAGUAAGUAUAAUAUGGAAGUUCCUGUUCAAAUUAGUAGAAUAUGCUUACCAGGGGUUAGAAUUUAUAGAUAUAUACCACAAUUUUCACUACAGAUUAAAUAUAAUAUGAAAGUUCUUGUCAGUUUUCUUUGUAGUUAGUUUGCGACAAUCACAACAUGAUCAUUUGAAUAUUUUGUUGUAACAAAUCUAUUAUAGCUAUUGUUGUGAAAGAAAAAUCCUUAAAAAAUCACCCAAUAGCAACCCGAGGAAGUUAAGAGACAUAAAUGAUCCAGAUAUGGUUCCAUUAUGCUCCCUCUGUUCGAUAAUAUAUGACGUUUUCUGGCAGUACACAAUGCCAAAAACGUCUUAUAUUAUGGGACAGAAGCGAGUUUGUGAUUCUUUUGGUUAUUCUUGAUUCCACAUGCUUCAUUUGGGUGAAUAAUCCAUUGGCAUCCAAAUUUGGAGAUUAAUUCACCUAUGUAAUGUGCAUAAUCAAUGACACAUUUUUGCUAUGAUGAAUAUGUAAAUAAAUUUUGUACAAUUCCAUAAAUACACAGUUAAGCCAUUUUGUUGUAAAGAUAAUGUAGAUAAUUUUUUAUAGCUUUGCAAAUAAGAUUAACCUUGGUGUAUAAAUCCGAUCAGAGUAGAGGUAGCUAUGCAAUGGUCUUGCGUCACAUCAUUAGUCUAAGGCUCUAACCACAUUCAUGGAGAAUCUAACAUCUCAACUACGCAUAUCUGUUUGUUCCAGAAGCCACGAAAUUGAGGUAUGUAGAAGAUAAACAAACCUGAGAAUUGAUGAUCGAAUGAAGAGUCGGAGCUCGAGCAUCACAUAGCCGUCAGCUAUGGUGGCCUGUGGGCGGAUGUUUCUCAGACCUAAGUUGUUGCCGCUGGACCGUGGCUACAUUCAUCCUAGCUUGGAGGAAAUGGUGCGGGAAGAUAUGCAUGUGCAGGGCGAAGAAGUGGACGAAGGCCGAAGUAGCAAUCUCUGCCUCCCUAUCGCUGCGUCCUGCUCCUCAAUAUGUCACCUUAGUCAUGGCCGCCUUAUCCCUCAUGCUGCUGAUUUGAAUCUGCCCUACUCUUCUUCUCCUAGACUGCUCGAGCGCUUCAGCGGGUGCCUUGCCGACGACAGGGAAGGAAGGACCAGAGUAAGUAUAAUAUGGAAGUUCCUGUUCAAAUUAGUAGAAUAUGCUUACCAGGGGUUAGAAUUUAUAGAUAUAUACCACAAUUGUCACUACAGAUUAAAUAUAAUGUGAAACUUCUUGUCAGUUUUCUUUGUAGUUAGUUUGCGACAAUCAAAACAUGAUCAUUUGAAUAUUUUGUUAUAACAAAUCUAUUAUAGCUAUUGUUGUGAAAGAAAAAUCCUUAAAAAAUCACCCAAUAGCAACCCGAGGAAGUUAAGAGACAUAAAUGAUCCAGAUAUGGUUCCAUUAUGCUCCCUCUGUUCGAUAAUAUAUGACGUUUUCUGGCAGUACACAAUGCCAAAAACAUCUUAUAUUAUGGGAGAGAAGCGAGUUUGUGAUUCUUUUGGUUAUUCUUGAUUCCACAUGCUUCAUUUGGGUGAAUAAUCCAUUGGCAUCCAAAUUUGGAGAUUAAUUCACCUAUGUAAUGUGCAUAAUCAAUGACACAUUUUUGCUAUGAUGAAUAUGUAAAUAAAUUUUGUACAAUUCCAUAAAUACACAGUUAAGCAUUUUUGUUGUAAAGAUAAUGUAGAUAAUUUUUUAUAGCUUUGCAAAUAAGAUUAACCUUGGUGUAUAAAUCCGAUCAGAGUAGAGGUAGCUAUGCAAUGGUCUUGCGUCACAUCAUUAGUCUAAGGCUCUAACCACAUUCAUGGAGAAUCUAACAUCCCAACUACGCAUAUCUGUUUGUUCCAGAAGCCACGAAAUUGAGGUACGCAGAAGAUGAACUAACCUGAGAACUGAUGAACCAAAGAAGAGUCGGAGGUCGAGCAUCACAUAGCUGUCAGCUAUGGUGGCUUGUAGGCGGAUGUGUCUCACACCUAAGUUUUUGCCGCUGGACCGUGGUUACAUUCAUCCUAGCUUGGAGGCAACGGUGUGGGUGGGUAUGCAUGUGCAAGGCGAAGAAGUGGACGAAGG